rnacentral:lncRNA from 1 species
UUGCCAUUUUGCUUGUCUCCUUCCAUUAGCAGUACUAAACCAUCCCCCCACUCACAACUUAACCCUACUCAAUGAUGAGAUGGGAUCUUGUCAAUUUCCAUAUCGUUUAGGUUAUAAUAUCCAGUCUGUCAAUCGUCCAAACUCGAAUAAGAAAGCUCUAAUUAACUAAAAAAGCUUAAGCAACAAGAAGUUGACACGGAACACGUAAACCUGGAAUCAAUGUGAAGAGAAGCAUGUGAGGUUGGGCCCAUCUGCAGUAAUC